UUAAUAAGAAAAAGGGCGCUAACCUUUAACUCUUAGUUUUUCCCAACACUCCAUUAAGACCACCCACAUCCCCAACCCCAUCCGCAAAUAAAAGCAAAAUCCCUCAUGUUAUCUCUGUUGUGCUUUCCCCAACCGACCAUCCGCAACCCUCAAAUAAAAGAAAGAAACACCCUUAUUUUCUAUACAAAAUUUACAGUUACUGAGCACGGAGCAACUCCACGAAGAGCCACAAACGAUUCUGGAAUCCUCACUACGACUAAUCUUCCGUUUCCAUUGAAGUGGUCUUAUGGUUUCGUUCUCCUUCUCAUCAAGUUAAGUUUUCUGCCAAGUAUCUAAACUUCUAGUCGUAACUGUUGUAGAAUUGAGAAUUCCUUUAUUGUUCCAAUUAUUUCUCUUGGUAUUUAUCAAAUAUAUUGGUUUUCGUCUUAGAAUUACAUAUUUGGUUAUAUAAUUACAUCCAGCUUUUUAGAGCAUUACGAUUCAUGUGCAGCAGUCACUUAUUUUUUUCCUCUGACUUAUUCUGCGCCUUUUUUGAUGAUAUAACUAUGGAAAGAGUUUAUGGUAUUAUUUGAUUAAUAUUUUUAGUUAAUUAAACUUAAUAAUUGGGGUUUACCAACUAUGUUUUUGCUCGCACCUUCACUAAUAAUUUGACUGUAUUUAUCCCUUAAAGGGGACAAAUCGUUAUGGAGUUUGGGGAUACUAACACCUUCCUAAUAUAUAGAGGUUCAUAUUGUUAGUAAAGACGCUACUCAGUAUAAUAUAAAUUUGCUUAAAUAUCUGUGACUUUUAAGGUGUGUCUCUUCAUACUUAAUGUUAUUAGCAAGGUGGCUAUUAUGUGCCCAAUAAAUAGUUGUACUGAUGGAGGUAUCUGAAAGGAGAGGUAUGUGAUCCCUACUUGGUAAAAGAUGAAAGGAUUCUUGGAUAGAAAAGGAGAAGCUACGAUCCAACUUUAAUUGCGAAAUUUGAUCUCUUAUAUUUAAUGCCAAAAAGUCCCUUCCCUUUGCCAAAUCCCCAAUUGCAGGUAAUCGAUUAAGAUGUUUUGCUGGCCUCGUCAGUAAGUUGCAUUCUGGAAAGUCAUAGCACCUUCGCUAGGUAAUCGGUCAACCUUGCUGUAAAGGAAAAUCCUUUGAUUGAUAAAGGAUGAACCAUAAAUAUAGUCCAGCUCAGUUUAUGUACAGAUGGUGGUAGCAUUCAGAAAAUCUUGCCACCUACGAGUAGCAGGAUUCUCUUAAAGGUCUGCAUUUCAAUGUUGGACAGCAUUCAUGACAAAGAGGGGAGAUCAAGUUUGUCAACCAAAGUUUUGGUGAGGGGGUUUGGCAUAUACAAGGUAUUCAAUUAUGUGAAGAAUAUGUAACUAAAUGACAAUGGUACUUGUCUCCCACAUAACCUAUCAAGUAAGCAAAAACUGUCAAAUGACUUAAUAUAAUCUUUCUUAAAUCAUGCUUUAUCAAAAGCAAAACUUGAAUAGCUCAUUCUUCAUUCACAUUGGUGCUAAACUAGCUUAAUGGCCCAUUAUUAAGUCAGUCUCCUUGCCACAAUUAAAUGUACCUUUUUUCAUGUGAUGGCCCAUCUGCUAAAAGCAGUCAGUUUUGGGCAGCACCUCUUAAAUAACAGAGCAAUCAUUUAUAUUUUUUCAAAUCUGAAACAUUUGUUGUGGUUUGAUUCUAUUGUACUUGGGGCUGCUGGAAGCUUAGCCUUGUUUAGGACAUGUUUCUUUUUGUUUGUCUAAGCAAACAAUUUUAUUUGCCUAACAUUAGUUUUAGACUAGUCAAACAAUGCAGAGACUAGCUGGUAAUGAAUUAAUCCUACCUUGAAAAAGCUAGUAGAAAAGUCCAUUUCUCCAACACCAAUUUACUAUCAGUUUGUGAGUUUCUAAACUUCAAGUGAUUCGUUGAGAUUUUCUAUCAUUUGUAGUCAUUGUUAAACUUGCAAAUAAUACUUGUAUUAGUUUGUUUAUCAUGUGCUUUAGCUUGAGGAAUUCCUUGCUUUAUUUUUUCCAAACAUAUAGUUUAAAAGUAUAAUGUGAGGAAUUAAGAGAUCAUUUAGGUCCCGACUCUUUUAACAUUAGCAUCUUCUUGGUGUCAAUGAUGUGGAAUACAACGUAAUUAACUUUUUACUAUUCCAUUUCCCUAUACAACUUAAAACUGUUAAAAGCUAAAUUCGAUCUAGCUUUGUCUAAAUUAUAGUAAUCAUUUGCUCCUCGUGUCUCUUGAUUCACUUUCUAUUCCCGAAAAGUCGAAAACUAAGUGAUAAAGGUUUUGUGAAAUCUUCUAAGAUGUUAAUGGGUAAAAGGAUUGGGGUUGGUUGAAUAUAUUUUCCUCACUUUAUAUUAAUGUUCUAUUUUUUCGGUAGGAUCUUAUAAGCACACCCUCUAUGUGUUGCUGGAGUUUGCGCUACUGUUUGUGAUUGGACUAAUGUAUGCAUAUUUGAUUGUGAAUUACCUUUAUGGUUCCUAUCUACACUGG